GGUUAUUUUGCGUUUCACUUAUUUGUUCAUUUUUUAGUUUUAGAAAUUUGAGAGGCAGAAUUAGAAGAUUUAAGUUUGUGUUUAAAUGUGUUUUCUUAUAAACAUGUAACUAUUGGACUAAAAAGACAUAUACACACACACACAGAAAGAGAAGAUAAUAAUAGUUUAUUUUGGAGUUUUUAUAUUGAUCUUUUUGGGAUGCACUCCCUUGAGACUCCGAGAGAGGUUAUAAUAUCUCAUUAUUUAUAUUUUAUUUUUUAUUUUUU
rnacentral:lncRNA from 1 species